GAUUGCUAAACAGUGGAUAAUCGAUCAGAUUGAAACCUUUGGCCUGCUUCCUCUCAUCAUACCACGGAAAGAUGAACUGCAAGAUGAGAGUUUAAUGGAAGGGACCCCUGACUCCCAGUCUGACAGGUCACAAUCUGAUAUCUUUGCUGAGUUGGAUGAUCUGGCCCCUCGCUCAAGUUCCUGUGUGUCUCCAGACCACCCAGCCGGGAGUCAAACUGACCGAUCCUCACCUACCAAAGAUCUGAGUCCUGGACUUGUGGCACUAACUGUGGGAUGUGAUUCAGGUGAUCUGGGAUCUUUGUCCCGUGUGCAGCUCCUGCUAUUGGAGCGAAGAGGAUCCAAGAGUCCAGGAUCCAUCCCAAGCCCUGAAUGGUGUCAUACUUCGGACGGGGAGGAGUAUGAACCUGACCUUAGAGUCUAGAGCUCGGGCAUUCCCCAAUAUUAUCAGUCCACAGCCCUGGACAACCGCAAACCAUUAAGUGGCAGAAACAGUGGCCAAGAUUCUUUGGCAACUUUCAAGGGACGUAGAAAGUGGCCCGGGGUGAGUACGCCACUCAUAAAACCAUUUCAACACACACAUAGAGGAAUCUAUGAGCCACUUUAUGGCUGUUGUUGCUGUAUGGAGGCAACUGGGGGAUUUCUGCUUGCUGCUGUGCGGCAGGUGUGGGUCUAAUAAGUCACUACAGAGGAGAAAAAGGUGCAGUCGCUUAUAAAAAAGGAAGUUGGGCUUCUCUGACUUGCCAUGCUGAUAAGUGGCCUGAAUUUUAGGGCAUGGAUGUGCCACAGCGGGGCCAAAGGGCAAGGUUUAGGGGGUAAACGGUGUCAGCGAGGGGUAUGAGGACUCAAAGCACUGGAUGCAGGUGCAAAGGGAUGGAGACAUUAAUCUUUCUUUUAUGAAGGAAGGAGGAAGGCAAGGGGAGGGGUAUGGUGGCUGAAACAUGAAUGUGUUGUAAGCUGCCGUCAAUUAAGUUUCAGUACAAUAGAUUUUCCCCAGGACAGAUUACUGUCGACACUAGGGAGGCCAUUGCUUCUUUGCAGCACAGCAGGGCCCACACUUAGCCCGGCCAUAACCGCGAACACACACAUUCAUAUUUGGUGGUUAUGCAUUUCUGUCCUGUUUGUGUGUUAAUUGUUGUGCUUUUAACUCAUCAGUGUGGAGAGUGGAUCAAGGACAUCAUACUUUUGUUCUCUCAACUCAAGGGUGCCUGAGAGUAGCUCUAAGAGCCAAGAAAAACCCACCUGUGAGGACCAGGACAAGGAUUUGAGUUGAGAAAUGACACCUUACAGAUGGAAAUCAUAACAGUGCUCACAUUGUCUCCAAACCCUCUCACUGCUGAAAUCAAGAUUUUGAAAAAAUUAAUUCCUGGUUCCAGGUUAAGCUCAAUUUGUGGCAUUAUAUUGUUUACCACAAAAACAUUUUUGACUCGUCCCUCCUCUUUAAAAAAAACAACAGUGAGGGACUCACAAUGAAAGUGAAUGGAGCCAAUCUAGAAACAUUCAAAAACUCACUGUUUCAAACAUAUAGCCACAAGACUUUAACAAUAUGUGUGUUCAUAUGAUUUACAUGUGAAAAAAAAAAUCAUGUACUAAUAAUUUCUGUAUAAAGUUAUGUCCAAUUUUACAACUUUACAACAAAACGUCAUAAGCCCUAAAAUGACUCUAAAAAUAUGAUUUAAACAGCUUUACAGAUCAAAUAAUACACUUUUAGCUAGCCAGCUUUUAACAGAAGAAUUACUGUACAUUACCAUCUAAAGGUUGGGGUCUUAAAAUAUAAAUUAUCAGUGUGAUGAAGCAGCCAUUACUCCAGUCCUCGGUGUCACAUGAUCCUUCAUGUAUCGUUCUAAUGUGCUAAUUUGGUGAAAAAAAAAAAAAAAAACGUUGGUGUUUCUUGUUAUUGUCAGUGAUGAAAACAGUUGUGCUGCUUAACAUUUUGGUGAAACUGUGAUACACUUUUUUUUAGGAUUCUUUGAAAGUUUAAAAGAACAAUAUAUAUUUGAAAUAAAUUUUGUUUUCACUCUUGAUCCA
ensembl:lncRNA